rnacentral:rRNA from 1 species
GUCGAGAAUCUUCGGCAAUGGGCGCAAGCCUGACCGAGCGAUGCCGCGUGAGGGAUGAAGGCCUUCGGGUUGUAAACCUCUGUCACCCGGGACGAACACCAUGACGGUACCGGGAGAGGAAGUCACGGCUAACUACGUGCCAGCAGCCGCGGUAAUACGUAGGUGACGAGCGUUAUUCGGAUUCACUGGGCGUAAAGGGUCCGCAGGGGGUUUGCCAAGUCCGGUGUGAAAUCCCGCGGCUCAACUGCGGAAUGGCACUGGAAACUGGCGAGCUUGAGUGCAUGAUGGGAGAGCGGAAUUCCUGGUGUAGCGGUGGAAUGCGUAGAUAUCAGGAGGAACACCGACGGCGAAGGCGGCUCUCUGGCGUGCUACUGACCCUCAGGGACGAAAGCGUGGGUAGCAAACAGGAUUAGAAACCCUAGUAGUCC